UUGACCUCGGAUCAGGUAGGGAUACCCGCUGAACUUAAGCAUAUCAAUAAGCGGAGGAAAAGAAACCAACAGGGAUUGCCUCAGUAACGGCGAGUGAAGCGGCAAGAGCUCAAAUUUGAAAGCUGGCCCCCUCGGGGUCCGCAUUGUAAUUUGCAGAGGAUGCUUCGGGAGUGGCCCCCAUCUAAGUGCUCUGGAACGGGCCGUCAUAGAGGGUGAGAAUCCCGUAU
rnacentral:rRNA from 1 species